GCGUAUUUUGCCCGGGCGGAGCUCGACCGCCCACUGAAACGAUGAUCGCGUUCAUCGACGAUCACCGGACCGAGUAUGGGGUCGAGCCGAUCUGCCGGGUUCUGCCGAUCGCCCC
rnacentral:ncRNA from 1 species